rnacentral:rRNA from 1 species
GAACCUACGGGGGGCAGCAGUGAGGAAUAUUGGUCAAUGGGCGCAAGCCUGAACCAGCCAUCCCGCGUGCAGGAAGACGGCCCUAUGGGCUGUAAACUGCUUUUCCAGGGGGAGAAACUUGCGCACGUGUUGCGCAAUUGACGGUACCCUGGGAAUAAGCAUCGGCUAACUCCGUGCCAGCAGCCGCGGUAAUACGGAGGAUGCGAGCGUUAUCCGGAUUCAUUGGGUUUAAAGGGUGCGUAGGCGGACUAUUAAGUCAGUGGUGAAAUCCUGCAGCUUAACUGCAGAACUGCCAUUGAUACUGAUAGCCUUGAGUUUGGUUAAGGUAGGCGGAAUGUGUAAUGUAGCGGUGAAAUGCUUAGAUAUUACACAGAACACCAAUUGCGUAGGCAGCUUACUGAGCCGACACUGACGCUGAGGCACGAAAGCGUGGGGAUCGAACAGGAUUAGAUACCCCAGUAGUC